CGGGGUCGAUCUCGUCGAGCAGAUGAUCCGCAGCGCCGCUGGUGAAAAACUCGCCCUGACACAGAAGGACGUCACGCUCACCGGCUGGGCUGUUGAGUCGCGCGUCUACGCCGAGGAUCCGUUCCGGAAUUUCCUGCCGUCGAUUGGACGGCUCGUGAAAUAUCGCCCGCCCGCGGAAAGCAAGGUGGACGACAUCACCGUG
rnacentral:misc_RNA from 1 species